rnacentral:lncRNA from 1 species
UCCCAUGUCAUGCCGUCUAGUCUCGGGUCCACAUAACACUUGAACCAUUCCUGUGCCUUUUUGCACUUUAAGGUGAACCCUGCCAUCUGAAUGGCCCUGCUGUCAUCUGCCCCUAGCUCAUCAGUUAUUGUCUUCACUACUCUCAGGUACUCAAAGGGAUCAUCCCCUGACUUGUAUUUGGGAGCAUCCAGCUUAAGGUAAUCUGUCA